UACGGAGGGUGCAAGCGUUAUCCGGAUUUACUGGGUUUAAAGGGUGCGUAGGCGGUUUUGUAAGUCAGUGGUGAAAUACUCCAGCUUAACUGGAGGGGUGCCAAUGAUACUGCAGAACUUGAGUACAGAUGAGGUAGGCGGAAUUGACGGUGUAGCGGUGAAAUGCAUAGAUAUCGUCAAGAACACCGGUGGCGAAGGCGGCCUGCUGGGCAGUUUGCUGACACUGAGGCGCGACAGCGUGGGGAGCAAACAGG
rnacentral:rRNA from 1 species